rnacentral:rRNA from 1 species
GACGAACGCUGGCGGCGUGCUUAACACAUGCAAGUCGAACGGUGAAGCGCCUUCCUUUUUGGUGGGUGUGGAUGAGUGGCGAACGGGUGAGUAACACGUGAGUAACCUGCCCCCUUCUUCUGGAUAACCGCAUGAAAGUGUGGCUAAUACGGGAUAUUCUGGGUCUGUCGCAUGAUGGGUCUGGGAAAGAUAUUGUUUCGGUGGGGGAUGGGCUCGCGGCCUAUCAGCUUGUUGGUGGGGUGAUGGCCUACCAAGGCGGUGACGGGUAGCCGGCCUGAGAGGGUGGCCGGUCACACUGGGACUGAGGCACGGCCCAGACUCCUACGGGAGGCAGCCGUGGGGAAUAUUGCACAAUGGGCGCAAGCCUGAUGCAGCGACGCCGCGUGAGGGAUGGAGGCCUUCGGGUUGUGAACCUCUUUCGCCAGUGAAGCAGGCCUGCCUCGUUUGUGGGUGGGUUGACGGUAGCUGGAUAAGAAGCGCCGGCUAACUACGUG